GGCUCAUUGGGAAUAUAUCUGUAUGAUCACUUUGGUGAAGAAGGCGUCAGAUACUAUUUUAUUCUGAAUAGUUGUUGGUUCAAGGUACACAAUUCUCCAGGUCCUUUAAGAAUAAGGAAAGAAGGGUGACCUUCCUUUCCUUAUGACAAAUGCUUCUGUUGUCUCAUUUUCUGGGUGCCAGGAGGAUUGAGGGAGGGAAGCUUGAGCAGUCAUAUAGAAAACUGCUGGACUGAGGCCAUUCUCGCCUACCUUUUAGACACUUGUCAUCCUGUGUACUCUGCUCACUUGUUGCUGUUUCUGUUGUUGCUGCUGUUUUUGCUGUGGAGCACUUAAACCACCACCUGAGCAGGAUAGUGGGAGAAAAUAUCAGCAGAAUGUCCAGAGUCAGCCUCCAAGGUCAGGAGCCAAAUGUGAUUUUAGAAGCGAGGAAAAUAGCGAAGAUGAUUUUUAAGAGAUGAAGAAGGAUGAGGUGCUGACCCAGUGAGGGUGCCUUCUGCUGCCCAGUCCCCUGGACACAUUGAAGAGAGGAGCAAGUAGCCCUGUCCUGACAUUGACCCUGAUUUGACCCCUCUUCUUAUAAGGAUCUCAAGAAUCUCUUCAGAAGCACUGAUGACGUUGAUCCCAGUAAGGACAUCACCUCUACCCUUGGUACCACAACUCUGUAUGGGGUUGCCCAGCUACUCUUCCUUUCAGUUGCAGUCCCAAUUUUACUCCGUCAGAAAGCAGCCCUCCCCUCCCUCCCCUUAUGAGGUCUCAGG
rnacentral:lncRNA from 10 species